rnacentral:rRNA from 1 species
UGUCGUUGAUUUCUCCUUCUGAUAACCAUGAUGUCAUUAAUUUGGUGUUGUGGGGAGUCAGGACUGUUACUUGUAAAAAUUAGAGUGUUAAAGCAGGCCUACGCUUGAAUACAUUAGCAUGGAAUAAUGAAAUAGGACGUUUCGAACCUAUUUUGUUGGUUUCUAGGAUCAACGUAAUGAUUAAUAGGGAUAGUUGGGGGCAUUAGUAUUCAAUUGUCAGAGGUGAAAUUCUUGGAUUUAUUGAAGACUAACUACUGCGAAAAGCAUUUGCCAAGGAUGUUUUCAUUAAUCAAGGACGAAAGUUAGGGGAUCGAAGACGAUCAGAUACCGUCGUAGUCUUAACCAUAAACUAUGCCGACUAGGGAUCGGAUGAUGUUAAUUUUAAUGACUCAUUCGGCGCCUUACG